GGGUUGUGAGGUUAAGCGACUAAGCGUACACGGUGGAUGCCCUGGCAGUCAGAGGCGAUGAAGGACGUGCUAAUCUGCGAUAAGCGUCGGUAAGGUGAUAUGAACCGUUAUAACCGGCGAUUUCCGAAUGGGGAAACCCAGUGUGUUUCGACACACUAUCAUUAACUGAAUCCAUAGGUUAAUGAGGCGAACCGGGGGAACUGAAACAUCUAAGUACCCCGAGGAAAAGAAAUCAACCGAGAUUCCCCCAGUAGCGGCGAGCGAACGGGGAGCAGCCCAGAGCCUGAAUCAGUGUGUGUGUUAGUGGAAGCGUCUGGAAAGGCGCGCGAUACAGGGUGACAGCCCCGUACACAAAAAUGCACAUGCUGUGAGCUCGAUGAGUAGGGCGGGACACGUGGUAUCCUGUCUGAAUAUGGGGGGACCAUCCUCCAAGGCUAAAUACUCCUGACUGACCGAUAGUGAACCAGUACCGUGAGGGAAAGGCGAAAAGAACCCCGGCGAGGGGAGUGAAAAAGAACCUGAAACCGUGUACGUACAAGCAGUGGGAGCACGCUUAGGCGUGUGACUGCGUACCUUUUGUAUAAUGGGUCAGCGACUUAUAUUCUGUAGCAAGGUUAACCGAAUAGGGGAGCCGAAGGGAAACCGAGUCUUAACUGGGCGUUAAGUUGCAGGGUAUAGACCCGAAACCCGGUGAUCUAGCCAUGGGCAGGUUGAAGGUUGGGUAACACUAACUGGAGGACCGAACCGACUAAUGUUGAAAAAUUAGCGGAUGACUUGUGGCUGGGGGUGAAAGGCCAAUCAAACCGGGAGAUAGCUGGUUCUCCCCGAAAGCUAUUUAGGUAGCGCCUCGUGAAUUCAUCUCCGGGGGUAGAGCACUGUUUCGGCAAGGGGGUCAUCCCGACUUACCAACCCGAUGCAAACUGCGAAUACCGGAGAAUGUUAUCACGGGAGACACACGGCGGGUGCUAACGUCCGUCGUGAAGAGGGAAACAACCCAGACCGCCAGCUAAGGUCCCAAAGUCAUGGUUAAGUGGGAAACGAUGUGGGAAGGCCCAGACAGCCAGGAUGUUGGCUUAGAAGCAGCCAUCAUUUAAAGAAAGCGUAAUAGCUCACUGGUCGAGUCGGCCUGCGCGGAAGAUGUAACGGGGCUAAACCAUGCACCGAAGCUGCGGCAGCGACGCUGAUGCGUUGUUGGGUAGGGGAGCGUUCUGUAAGCCUGCGAAGGUGUGCUGUGAGGCAUGCUGGAGGUAUCAGAAGUGCGAAUGCUGACAUAAGUAACGAUAAAGCGGGUGAAAAGCCCGCUCGCCGGAAGACCAAGGGUUCCUGUCCAACGUUAAUCGGGGCAGGGUGAGUCGACCCCUAAGGCGAGGCCGAAAGGCGUAGUCGAUGGGAAACAGGUUAAUAUUCCUGUACUUGGUGUUACUGCGAAGGGGGGACGGAGAAGGCUAUGUUGGCCGGGCGACGGUUGUCCCGGUUUAAGCGUGUAGGCUGGUUUUCCAGGCAAAUCCGGAAAAUCAAGGCUGAGGCGUGAUGACGAGGCACUACGGUGCUGAAGCAACAAAUGCCCUGCUUCCAGGAAAAGCCUCUAAGCAUCAGGUAACAUCAAAUCGUACCCCAAACCGACACAGGUGGUCAGGUAGAGAAUACCAAGGCGCUUGAGAGAACUCGGGUGAAGGAACUAGGCAAAAUGGUGCCGUAACUUCGGGAGAAGGCACGCUGAUAUGUAGGUGAGGUCCCUCGCGGAUGGAGCUGAAAUCAGUCGAAGAUACCAGCUGGCUGCAACUGUUUAUUAAAAACACAGCACUGUGCAAACACGAAAGUGGACGUAUACGGUGUGACGCCUGCCCGGUGCCGGAAGGUUAAUUGAUGGGGUUAGCGCAAGCGAAGCUCUUGAUCGAAGCCCCGGUAAACGGCGGCCGUAACUAUAACGGUCCUAAGGUAGCGAAAUUCCUUGUCGGGUAAGUUCCGACCUGCACGAAUGGCGUAAUGAUGGCCAGGCUGUCUCCACCCGAGACUCAGUGAAAUUGAACUCGCUGUGAAGAUGCAGUGUACCCGCGGCAAGACGGAAAGACCCCGUGAACCUUUACUAUAGCUUGACACUGAACAUUGAGCCUUGAUGUGUAGGAUAGGUGGGAGGCUUAGAAGUGUGGACGCCAGUCUGCAUGGAGCCGACCUUGAAAUACCACCCUUUAAUGUUUGAUGUUCUAACGUUGACCCGUAAUCCGGGUUGCGGACAGUGUCUGGUGGGUAGUUUGACUGGGGCGGUCUCCUCCUAAAGAGUAACGGAGGAGCACGAAGGUUGGCUAAUCCUGGUCGGACAUCAGGAGGUUAGUGCAAUGGCAUAAGCCAGCUUGACUGCGAGCGUGACGGCGCGAGCAGGUGCGAAAGCAGGUCAUAGUGAUCCGGUGGUUCUGAAUGGAAGGGCCAUCGCUCAACGGAUAAAAGGUACUCCGGGGAUAACAGGCUGAUACCGCCCAAGAGUUCAUAUCGACGGCGGUGUUUGGCACCUCGAUGUCGGCUCAUCACAUCCUGGGGCUGAAGUAGGUCCCAAGGGUAUGGCUGUUCGCCAUUUAAAGUGGUACGCGAGCUGGGUUUAGAACGUCGUGAGACAGUUCGGUCCCUAUCUGCCGUGGGCGCUGGAGAACUGAGGGGGGCUGCUCCUAGUACGAGAGGACCGGAGUGGACGCAUCACUGGUGUUCGGGUUGUCAUGCCAAUGGCACUGCCCGGUAGCUAAAUGCGGAAGAGAUAAGUGCUGAAAGCAUCUAAGCACGAAACUUGCCCCGAGAUGAGUUCUCCCUGACUCCUUGAGAGUCCUGAAGGAACGUUGAAGACGACGACGUUGAUAGGCCGGGUGUGUAAGCGCAGCGAUGCGUUGAGCUAACCGGUACUAAUGAACCGUGAGGCUUAACCUUACAACGCCGAAGGUGUUU
rnacentral:rRNA from 1 species